rnacentral:rRNA from 1 species
ACGCUGGCGGCAUGCUUUACACAUGCAAGUCGGACGGCAGCACAGAGAAGCUUGCUUCUUGGGUGGCGAGUGGCGAACGGGUGAGUAAUAUAUCGGAACGUACCGAGUAAUGGGGGAUAACUAAUCGAAAGAUUAGCUAAUACCGCAUAUUCUCUGAGGAGGAAAGCAGGGGACCUUCGGGCCUUGCGUUAUUCGAGCGGCCGAUAUCUGAUUAGCUAGUUGGUGGGGUAAAGGCCUACCAAGGCGACGAUCAGUAGCGGGUCUGAGAGGAUGAUCCGCCACACUGGGACUGAGACACGGCCCAGACUCCUACGGGAGGCAGCAGUGGGGAAUUUUGGACCAUGGGCGCAAGCCUGAUCCAGCCAUGCCGCGUGUCUGAAGAAGGCCUUCGGGUUGUAAAGGACUUUUGUCAGGGAAGAAAAGGCUGUUGCUAAUACCGACAGCUGAUGACGGUACCUGAAGAAUAAGCACCGGCUAACUACGUGCCAGCAGCCGCGGUAAUACGUAGGGUGCGAGCGUUAAUCGGAAUUACUGGGCGUAAAGCGAGCGCAGACGGUUACUUAAGCAGGAUGUGAAAUCCCGGGCUCAACCUGGGAACUGCGUUCUGAACUGGGUGACUAGAGUGUGUCAGAGGGAGGUAGAAUUCCACGUGUAGCAGUGAAAUGCGUAGAGAUGUGGAGGAAUACCGAUGGCGAAGGCAGCCUCCUGGGAUAACACUGACGUUCAUGCUCGAAAGCGUGGGUAGCAAACAGGAUUAGAUACCCUGGUAGUCCACGCCCUAAACGAUGUCAAUUAGCUGUUGGGCAACUUGAUUGCUUAGUAGCGUAGCUAACGCGUGAAAUUGACCGCCUGGGGAGUACGGUCGCAAGAUUAAAACUCAAACGAAUUGACGGGGACCCGCACAAGCGGUGGAUGAUG